rnacentral:rRNA from 1 species
ACACUCCUACGGGAGGCAGCAGUGGGGAAUAUUGGACAAUGGGCGCAAGCCUGAUCCAGCCAUGCCGCGUGAGUGAUGAAGGCCCUAGGGUUGUAAAGCUCUUUCACCGGUGAAGAUAAUGACGGUAACCGGAGAAGAAGCCCCGGCUAACUUCGUGCCAGCAGCCGCGGUAAUACGAAGGGGGCUAGCGUUGUUCGGAUUUACUGGGCGUAAAGCGCACGUAGGCGGACUAUUAAGUCAGGGGUGAAAUCCCGGGGCUCAACCCCGGAACUGCCUUUGAUACUGGUAGUCUUGAGUUCGAGAGAGGUGAGUGGAAUCCCGAGUGUAGAGGUUAAAUUCGUAGAUAUUCGGAGGAACACCAGUGGCGAAGGCGGCUCACUGGCUCGAUACUGACGCUGAGGUGCGAAAGCGUGGGGAGCAAACAGGAUUAGAAACCCUAGUAGUCCCAUG